rnacentral:sRNA from 1 species
GUAGCCGAUUCUCAGACCUACUGAACAUACUAUUGA